UAGGGAAUCUUCCGCAAUGGGCGAAAGCCUGACGGAGCAACGCCGCGUGAGUGAUGAAGGUCUUCGGAUCGUAAAACUCUGUUAUUAGGGAAGAACAAUUGUGUAAGUAACUAUGCACGUCUUGACGGUACCUAAUCAGAAAGCCACGGCUAACUACGUGCCAGCAGCCGCGGUAAUACGUAGGUGGCAAGCGUUAUCCGGAAUUAUUGGGGGUAAAGCGCGCGUAGGCGGUUUUUUAAGUCUGAUGUGAAAGCCCACGGCUCAACAGGGGAGGGGCAGUGGAAACUGGAAAACUUGAGUGCAGAAGAGGAAAGUGGAAUUCCAUGUGUAGCGGUGAAAUGCGCAGAGAUAUGGAGAAACACCAGUGGCGAAGGCGACUUUCUGGUCUGUAACUGACGCUGAUGUGCGAAAGCGUGGGGAUCAAACAGG
rnacentral:rRNA from 1 species